rnacentral:rRNA from 1 species
ACGAACCUCUGGUGUGCCAGUUGUCCCGCCAGGGGCACUGCUGGUUAGCUACGUUCGGAAGGGAUAACCGCUGAAAGCAUCUAAGCGGGAAGCCUGUUCCAAGAUGAGGUUUCUCACCACCUUCGAGUGGUUAAGGCCCCCUACAGACCAUGGGGUUGAUAGGCCAGAACUGGAAGCACAGCAAUGUGUGUAGGUGACUGGUACUAAUCGGCCGAGGACUUACAACAA